AGACUCCUACGGGAGGCAGCAGUGGGGAAUAUUGGACAAUGGGCGAAAGCCUGAUCCAGCAACGCCGCGUGAGGCAUGACGGCCUUCGGGUUGUAAACCUCUUUCAGCAGGGACGAAGCGAAAGUGACGGUACCUGCAGAAGAAGGACCGGCCAACUACGUGCCAGCAGCCGCGGUAAUACGUAGGGUCCGAGCGUUGUCCGGAAUUAUUGGGCGUAAAGGGCUCGUAGGCGGUUUGUCACGUCGGAAGUGAAAACUCAGGGCUCAACCCUGAGCGUGCUUACGAUACGGGCAAACUAGAGGUAUGCAGGGGAGAACGGAAUUCCUGGUGUAGCGGUGGAAUGCGCAGAUAUCAGGAGGAACACCGGUGGCAAAGGCGGUUCUCUGGGCAUUACCUGACGCUGAGGAGCGAAAGCAUGGGGAGCGAACAGGAUUAGAUACCCUGGUAGUCCAUGCCGUAAACGUUGGGCGCUAGGUGUGGGGACCUUCCACGGUCUCCGUGCCGCAGCUAACGCAUUAAGCGCCCCGCCUGGGGAGUACGGCCGCAAGUCUAAAACUCAAAGGAAUUGACGGGGCCCGCACAAGCGGCGGAGCAUGCUGAUUAAUUCCAUGCAACGCGAAGAACCUUACCUGGGUUUGACAAAUGCCGGGAAAGCC
rnacentral:rRNA from 1 species